UACGUAGGGGGCUAGCGUCAUCCGGAAUUACUGGGCGUAAAGGGUGCGUAGGUGGUUUCUUAAGUCAGAGGUGAAAGGCUACGGCUCAACCGUAGUAAGCCUUUGAAACUGGGAAACUUGAGUGCAGGAGAGGAGAGUGGAAUUCCUAGUGUAGCGGUGAAAUGCGUAGAUAUUAGGAGGAACACCAGUUGCGAAGGCGGCUCUCUGGACUGUAACUGACACUGAGGCACGAAAGCGUGGGGAGCAAACAGGAUUAGAUACCCGCGUAGUCCCU
rnacentral:rRNA from 1 species